rnacentral:tRNA from 1 species
GAUAAAGAAAGGAAUUAAACCAAUGUUGAUAGGACUACAGCCUACCGCCUUUCACUCGGCCACUUUACC